GACGAACGCUGGCGGCGUGCCUAACACAUGCAAGUUGAGCGACUAACCAGGGCUUGCCCUGGGGCAAAGCAGCGAACGGGUGAGUAACACGUGGGUAACCUGCCGAGAUGACCGGGACAACCCGAGGAAACUCGGGCUAAUACCGGAUGUGUUCCACACACAUCAGUGUGUGAAGGAAAGGAAGCUUCGGCCUCCGCAUCUCGAGGGGCCCGCGGCCCAUUAGCUUGUUGGUGAGGUAACGGCUCACCAAGGCAACGAUGGGUAGCUGGGCUGGGAGGACGAGCCGCCACACGGGGACUGAGACACGGCCCAGACUCCUACGGGAGGCAGCAGUGGGGAAUCUUGCGCAAUGCGCGAAAGCGUGACGCAGCAACGCCGCGUGAGGGAAGACAGCCUUCGGGUUGUAAACCUCUUUCAGAAGGGACGAAGGGUCGGCCGCGAAUAGCGAGCCGGCUUGACGGUACCUUCAGAAGAAGCCCCGGCUAACUACGUGCCAGCCGCCGCGGUAA
rnacentral:rRNA from 1 species